UGCUUAUAGCUCAGCUGGUUAGAGCGUGGUGCUGAUAAUGCUAAGCUUGGAGGUUCGAUCUCCGUAUGGGGCAG